AACUUUUAGCAAUGGAUCUCUUGGCUCUCGCAUCGAUGAAGAACGCAGCGAAAUGCGCGAAGUAAUGUGAAUUGCAGAAUUCAGUGAAUCAUCGAAUCUUUGAACGCACCUUGCACCCUUUGGCAUUCCGAAGGGUAUGCUCGUUUGAGUGUCAUUGUACUCUCACACUCCCAAUCCCUUUGGAUUGGGAGCGGUGGACUUGGUGGUUGCCGCUUGACUGAGGCUCACCUGAAAUAUGUUAGUGCAUCUCUUGAUUGGACAUAGUACGGCGUGAUAAGUGUCUUCGCCGGCUCCUCGCAAAGAGGGUGGCCGAUCGGGAGCUCUGUUGCUUCAAACAGUCUUCGGACAAUCUUCUGACAACUUGACCUCAAAUCGAGUAGGACUACCCGCUGAACUUAAGCAUAUCAAUAAGCGGAGGCU
rnacentral:misc_RNA from 1 species